rnacentral:rRNA from 1 species
AUUGAACGCUGGCGGCAUGCCCUACACAUGCAAGUCGAACGGCAGCACGGGUGCUUGCACCUGGUGGCGAGUGGCGAACGGGUGAGUAAUACAUCGGAACAUGUCCUGUAGUGGGGGAUAGCCCGGCGAAAGCCGGAUUAAUACCGCAUACGAUCUACGGAUGAAAGCGGGGGACCUUCGGGCCUCGCGCUAUAGGGUUGGCCGAUGGCUGAUUAGCUAGUUGGUGGGGUAAAGGCCUACCAAGGCGACGAUCAGUAGCUGGUCUGAGAGGACGACCAGCCACACUGGGACUGAGACACGGCCCAGACUCCUACGGGAGGCAGCAGUGGGGAAUUUUGGACAAUGGGCGAAAGCCUGAUCCAGCAAUGCCGCGUGUGUGAAGAAGGCCUUCGGGUUGUAAAGCACUUUUGUCCGGAAAGAAAUCCUUGGCCCUAAUACGGUCGGGGGAUGACGGUACCGGAAGAAUAAGCACCGGCUAACUACGUG